UUAGAGUUUGAUCCUGGCUCAGGAUGAACGCUAGCGGCAGGCUUAACACAUGCAAGUCGAGGGGCAGCGAGAUCAGUGCUUGCACUGAUUGUCGGCGACCGGCGCACGGGUGCGUAACGCGUAUGCAACCUACCCAUUACAGGGGGAUAACACUGAGAAAUCGGUACUAAUACCCCAUAACAUCCAGGGAGGCAUCUUCUUGGGUUGAAAACUCCGGUGGUAAUGGAUGGGCAUGCGUUGUAUUAGUUAGUUGGUGGGGUAACGGCUCACCAAGACCACGAUACAUAGGGGGACUGAGAGGUUAACCCCCCACAUUGGUACUGAGACACGGACCAAACUCCUACGGGAGGCAGCAGUGAGGAAUAUUGGUCAAUGGACGCAAGUCUGAACCAGCCAUGCCGCGUGCAGGAAGACGGCUCUAUGAGUUGUAAACUGCUUUUGUACGAGGGUAAACGCAGAUACGCGUAUCUGUCUGAAAGUAUCGUACGAAUAAGGAUCGGCUAACUCCGUGCCAGCAGCCGCGGUAAUACGGAGGAUUCAAGCGUUAUCCGGAUUUAUUGGGUUUAAAGGGUGCGUAGGCGGUCGGAUAAGUUAGAGGUGAAAUCCCGAGGCUCAACUUCGGAAUUGCCUCUGAUACUGUUUGGCUAGAGAGUAGUUGCGGUAGGCGGAAUGUAUGGUGUAGCGGUGAAAUGCUUAGAGAUCAUACAGAACACCGAUUGCGAAGGCAGCUUACCAAGCUACUUCUGACGUUGAGGCACGAAAGCGUGGGGAGCAAACAGGAUUAGAUACCCUGGUAGUCCACGCAGUAAACGAUGAUAACUCGUUGUCGGCGAUACAUUGUCGGUGACUAAGCGAAAGCGAUAAGUUAUCCACCUGGGGAGUACGUUCGCAAGAAUGAAACUCAAAGGAAUUGACGGGGGCCCGCACAAGCGGAGGAACAUGUGGUUUAAUUCGAAGCAACGCGAAGAACCUUACCAGGCCUUGACAUCCCCCUGGAUGUGCCGUAACGGGCACAGCCCCUCGGGGCAGGGGAGACAGGUGGUGCAUGGUUGUCGUCAGCUCGUGUCGUGAGAUGUUGGGUUAAGUCCCGCAACGAGCGCAACCCCUGCCCGCAGUAGCCAGCAUUCGGUUGGGGACUCUGCGGGGACUGCCGGGGACAACCCGGAGGAAGGCGGGGAUGACGUCAAAUCAUCAUGCCCCUUAUGGCCUGGGCGACACACGUGCUACAAUGGCGGGGACAGAGGGAUGCGAAGCGGCGACGCGGAGCGAACCCCAAAAACACCGCCCCAGUUCGGAUUGUAGUCUGCAACCCGACUACAUGAAGCCGGAAUCGCUAGUAAUCGCGGAUCAGAAUGCCGCGGUGAAUACGUUCCCGGGUCUUGUACUCACCGCCCGUCAAG
rnacentral:rRNA from 1 species